rnacentral:rRNA from 1 species
GUUGCAGCAGGCGCGAACCUCCGCAAUACACGAAGUGUGACGGGCCAUCCCGAGUGCCGGUCCGCUGAGGACGGCUUUUCCCCAGUGUACACAGCUGGGGGAAUAAGGAGAGGGCAAGCCUGGUGUCAGCCGCCGCGGUAAUACCAGCUCUCCGAGUGGUGGGGACGCUUAUUGGGCCUAAAGCAUCCGUAGCCGGCUGGGCAAGUCCUCCGUUAAAAUCCAACGAUUUAAUCGUUGGGCUGCGGGGGAUACUGUCCAGCUUGGGGGCGGGAGAGGCCGAC